rnacentral:lncRNA from 1 species
GGGCUGACUGCUACGCUCAAGGAUGCCUGUGGGGAUGAUAGUGAAGAUGGAGGUACCGCCAGAAGCUAGUUACCGCUGCGUUGGUUUUAUUUGUGUCGUUUAGCCCAAGGGGCAUGUACCACAUUGUACUCUCAUAUUCUGAGAUGUAAUAAAUAACUUGUACUGUUAUCAUUGUAUGGAUGUGAUAUUGUGCUGAAAUGAGUUAUAUAUGUGAUAGCUACUGAUCUAGGGAUUAUCACGAGGAUACAUGGAGUCAGGUUUUCAGAAAUGAAAA